GCCUGGGUGGCUCAGUGGUUGAGCAUCUGCCUUCAGCUCAGUGUAUUAUUCAGAGUCUGGGAUCCAGUCCCACCUCAAGCU
rnacentral:tRNA from 1 species